rnacentral:rRNA from 1 species
UGGGGAAUAUUGGACAAUGGGCGAAAGCCUGAUCCAGCCAUGCCGCGUGUGUGAAGAAGGUCUUCGGAUUGUAAAGCACUUUAAGUUGGGAGGAAGGGCAGUAAGCGAAUACCUUGCUGUUUUGACGUUACCGACAGAAUAAGCACCGGCUAACUCUGUGCCAGCAGCCGCGGUAAUACAGAGGGUGCAAGCGUUAAUCGGAAUUACUGGGCGUAAAGCGCGCGUAGGUGGUUCGUUAAGUUGAAUGUGAAAGCCCCGGGCUCAACCUGGGAACUGCAUCCAAAACUGGCGAGCUAGAGUAGGGCAGAGGGUGGUGGAAUUUCCUGUGUAGCGGCGAAAUGCGUAGAUAUAGGAAGGAACACCAGUGGCGAAGGCGACCACCUGGGCUCAUACUGACACUGAGGUGCGAAAGCGUGGGGAGCAAACAGG